rnacentral:rRNA from 1 species
UACGUAGGGGGGCGAGCGUUUGUCCGAAUUUACUGGGCGUAAAGCGCGCGUAGGCGGUCAUUUAAGUCCGGGGUGAAAGGUUCAGCGCUCAACGCGAACAGUGCCUCGGAUACUGGGUGACUUGAGUCUGGCAGGGGGUGGCGGAAUUCCUGGUGUAGCGGUGAAAUGCGUAGAUAUCAGGAGGAACACCGGUGGCGAAGGCGGCCACCUGGGCUAAGACUGACGCUGAGGUGCGAAAGCGUGGGGAGCGAACGGG